UCGGCUACCCGAAAUACAUGUUGUUGCAACAGACAAUGAAGGUAUCGAAUACGGAGCGGCGUGGGGAUCACUCAGCUGUGAGAUGGGAUGCAAGUGGGCCACAUGUUUCUGUGUACGUCGAGAUCUGUAUCAACCCAUGCAUUGGGGAUGGGCCUAUUGCAGGAGGCCAGUGGCCUGAAAGCAGUGGAAGUAUAGUUCUACUCCAGGUCCAUUUUGGAGCCAUUUUGACAUCAGAGGCGAAGCAUCCACCUUGAUGUUGCAGUGCUGAAAUGCUGGACAGCCAACCUAUUAAAAGAAGCAACGUUGAAGCAGCAGAGAGAUAGUGCCUGGCCUCCUGUGCUUCUGUGCCUUUUCCAAGUAUUCGAGGCGGAAAUUCAGCUUGCAAAAGGUGGUUUUGGUGAAUGCCUGUUCCCGUCAUCCUCUAAGAACAGAUAAGUUACUCAUUUAUCUUACAGAAGCGUCCUUAUAUUUCAGUCUAAAGGCAUUCAAAAUGGUAGGAGCAACAGGAAGCAGUGCUGCAACCAACAAAAGACUGCUCUGUAAGAGCUGGGAAGAAAAUCUACAGAAAGGCCCUGAGGCCACAUUGAAGCGCUGUGAAAAUUUAAGUACCUCUGCCCAGCUCAAGUGCACAAUGGAGUCUGAUUCUGGGACUCAUUUGGAAGACGAUUGAGUAGAUAAACAGAAGCAGCUGCUUCUGAAGUUGGGCCCCAUCCUUAAAGAUCUGCCUCUUGAGAGGACUCAGUUAUACUGAAGAAAGACUGAGACACCAGCAACAUUUCUAUGUUGGCCCCAGACUUUGAAACUUGACUGCAGCAAGUGGAAUCCAUCUUCACUCUAUCCACACUUAUCUCUUGGUCUCAAUGAAAACUCAUGGCACUUCUACUUGGAAGAUUAAUGGGUGCUCCCCAUACACCUUGAUAAUCCAACUUCUCCCUUGGCUCCACCCUCAGAGUUCCUUGGCCUACUGGGAUCACUCAGUGGAAAUUCAGAUGCUGCCUGUGCAGAGGUAUGCAACGGAGGAGCAAUCAACACUGAGACUGCAAUCUAAAAGGGGGAAGUUUGUAUUACUAGAAGAUGACAUGAAAAAGACAUCAGGACCCUGGACAGCACUUAGGGAGAAAAUGGGAGGACAAGAAAGACAAGGGAGAGUGCCAUCCAUGACUUUGUGGAUUUUGCAGGCUGAUCCUGAAGAAAAGUCUCUCACCCACAUUCUAGCUUUCUGUCUGUUUUUACAAUUUUGUGUAGGUUUCUGUGGGAUAGGUCAUCAGGUUAACCACUACACUUUGAAAUGAAUAGGAUAUGUGUAUCAGAGACAAGCAUGUAGGUAAACAUUCUUUUUUUGGCUUAAAAAGCAAUGUCUAAUGCAACUCUUCACUUGCAUGCUAUCACAUGUGCUCUUUAUGCUAUGCUGGAACAAAUGCCAUUGCCAUAUGUGGGGUAUGUGUAUUGUCAUGUUAUUAAUCUCAUUUUCCCGACUCUUGUCAUCUCCCAUCUACCUGUCUUCAUGUCCCUGUCUUCUCUUUGCUUACUUUCAUUUGACUUAAUCGUCAUCCACUUUUUCUACCGAAACACACACAAAACAGCUUACAAAAGAGUUUCAAUUAGGUGCAAUAAAAAUAUAGACAUGCAAUACAAAACACACAGAAAAUACUCUAUAUUUUUCAAGUCUCCUGCUCCAAACUCCCUACUGUUCUUUGUGUUUUUCUCUCAUAAUAUUGCCCUGCUCAUUUUUCAUAGAUGGCAGGCAUCCUCAGUGAGAUAACUGAUUUCUGGAAGUUACAGGAUUGCUCUGGUAGAAAGGGGCUGCUUCAUUUAUAGCUCACUAAUGCUAGCUGUUGAAUAGUUAAGGACUUGUAUAAUGUUUGCAUCCAUUCAAGUGAGAUUCCUGUGCUCCUAACACCAUUUACACUAACCUACAACCUAAGCAGCAGAUGUUAGAGAGCAAGAAACUUGAGGGUUGUUUAUUUUAUAUGUGUUUAGAUGCAGAGCCUGAUGUAAUAUUCCCCCAAUAUAAAAUGGAAUUUGAAACACA